UACGGAGGGUGCGAGCGUUGUCCGGAAUCAUUGGGCGUAAAGCGCGUGUAGGCGGCCUUGUAAGUCCGUUCUGAAAGCCCGGGGCUCAACCCCGGGAGGCGGAUGGAUACUGCAAGGCUCGAGUCCGGAAGAGGCGAGUGGAAUUCCCGGUGUAGCGGUGAAAUGCGCAGAUAUCGGGAGGAACACCAAUGGCGAAGGCAGCUCGCUGGGACGGUACUGACGCUGAGACGCGAAAGCGUGGGGAGCAAACAGG
rnacentral:rRNA from 1 species